rnacentral:rRNA from 1 species
UACGGAGGGCGCGAGCGUUGUCCGGAAUCACUGGGCGUAAAGAGCGUGUAGGCGGCCCGGUAAGUCCGCUGUAAAAGUCAAAGGCUCAACCUUUGAAUGUCAGUGGAUACUGCCGGGCUAGAGUCCGGAAGAGGCGAGUGGAACUCCUGGUGUAGCGGUGGAAUGCGCAGAUAUCAGGAAGAACACCAACGGCGAAGGCAGCUCGCUGGGACGGUACUGACGCUGAGACGCGAAAGCGUGGGGAGCGAACAGG